rnacentral:rRNA from 1 species
GACGAACGCUGGCGGCGUGCCUAAUACAUGCAAGUUGAGCGCUGAAGGUUGGUACUUGUACCAACUGGAUGAGCAGCGAACGGGUGAGUAACGCGUGGGGAAUCUGCCUUUGAGCGGGGGACAACAUUUGGAAACGAAUGCUAAUACCGCAUAAAAACUUUAAACACAAGUUUUAAGUUUGAAAGAUGCAAUUGCAUCACUCAAAGAUGAUCCCGCGUUGUAUUAGCUAGUUGGUGAGGUAAAGGCUCACCAAGGCGAUGAUACAUAGCCGACCUGAGAGGGUGAUAGGCCACAUUGGGACUGAGACACGGCCCAAACUCCUACGGGAGGCAGCAGUAGGGAAUCGUAGGCAAUGGACGAAAGUCUGACCGAGCAACGCCGCGUGAGUGAAGAAGGUUGUCGGAUCGUAAAACUCUGUUGGUAGAGAAGAACGUUGGUGAGAGUGGAAAGCUCAUCAAGUGACGGUAACUACCCAGAAAGGGACGGCUAACUACGUG